AUAGGGCGGAAUUGAAUUCCUCGGCCGCNNAAAANCNCCCUUAGAGUUUNUUCAUGGCUCAGAACGAACGCUGGCGGCAGGCCUAACACAUGCAAGUCGAGCGCGCCUUCGGGUGAGCGGCGGACGGGUUAGUAACGCGUGGGAACGUGCCCUUCAGUUGAGGAUAGCCCCGGGAAACUGGGAGUAAUACUCGAUACGCCCUUUGGGGGAAUGAAGGAUCGGCCCGCGUUGGAUUAGGUAGUUGGUGGGGUAACGGCCUACCAAGCCGACGAUCCAUAGCUGGUUUGAGAGGAUGAUCAGCAACACUGGGACUGAGACACGGCCCAGACUCCUACGGGAGGCAGCAGUGGGGAAUCUUGGACAAUGGGGGAAACCCUGAUCCAGCCAUGCCGCGUGAGUGAUGAAGGCCUUAGGGUCGUAAAGCUCUUUCGCCAGGGAUGAUAAUGACAGUACCUGGUAAAGAAACCCCGGCUAACUCCGUGCCAGCAGCCGCGGUAAUACGGAGGGGGUUAGCGUUGUUCGGAAUUACUGGGCGUAAAGCGCGCGUAGGCGGACUGUUAAGUCGGGGGUGAAAUCCCGGGGCUCAACCCCGGAACUGCCUCCGAUACUGGCAGUCUAGAGUUCGAGAGAGGUGAGUGGAAUUCCGAGUGUAGAGGUGAAAAUUCGUAGAUAUUCGGAGGAACACCAGUGGCGAANGCGGCUCACUGGCCUCGAUANUGACGCUGAAGGGGCGAAAAGCG
rnacentral:rRNA from 1 species